rnacentral:rRNA from 1 species
CCUACGGGGGGCUGCAGUGAGGAAUAUUGGACAAUGGAUGGAAAUCUGAUCCAGCCAUGCCGCGUGCAGGAAGAGAGCCCUAUGGGUUGUAAACUGCUUUUAUACGGGAGCAAUAAGGUCUACUUGUAGACUGAUGAGAGUACCGUAUGAAUAAGGAUCGGCUAACUCCGUGCCAGCAGCCGCGGUAAUACGGAGGAUCCGAGCGUUAUCCGGAAUUAUUGGGUUUAAAGGGUGCGUAGGCGGCUUGGUAAGUCAGCGGUGAAAUUUUGCAGCUUAACUGUAACAGUGCCGUUGAUACUGGCGAGCUAGGAUUUGGUUGCAGUGUGCGGAAUGUGUGGUGUAGCGGUGAAAUGCUUAGAUAUCACACAGAACACCGAUUGCGAAGGCAGCACACUAAGUCAAUAUUGACGCUGAGGCACGAAAGUGUGGGGAUCAAACAGGAUUAGAUACCCCUGUAGUC